GAUGAACGCUGGCGGCGUGCCUAAUACAUGCAAGUCGAGCGAACAGAUGAGGAGCUUGCUCCUCUGACGUUAGCGGCGGACGGGUGAGUAACACGUGGAUAACCUACCUAUAAGACUGGGAUAACUUCGGGAAACCGGAGCUAAUACCGGAUAAUAUAUUGAACCGCAUGGUUCAAUAGUGAAAGACGGUUUUGCUGUCACUUAUAGAUGGAUCCGCGCCGCAUUAGCUAGUUGGUAAGGUAACGGCUUACCAAGGCAACGAUGCGUAGCCGACCUGAGAGGGUGAUCGGCCACACUGGAACUGAGACACGGUCCAGACUCCUACGGGAGGCAGCAGUAGGGAAUCUUCCGCAAUGGACGAAAGCCUGACGGAGCAACGCCGCGUGAGUGAUGAAGGUCUUCGGAUCGUAAAACUCUGUUAUUAGGGAAGAACAAAUGUGUAAGUAACUAUGCACGUCUUGACGGUACCUAAUCAGAAAGCCACGGCUAUCUACGUG
rnacentral:rRNA from 1 species